rnacentral:rRNA from 1 species
UACGGGGGGGGCAAGCGUUGUUCGGAAUUACUGGGCGUAAAGGGCUCGUAGGCGGCCAACUAAGUCAAACGUGAAAUCCCUCGGCUUAACCGGGGAACUGCGUCUGAUACUGGAUGGCUUGAGUUUGGGAGAGGGAUGCGGAAUUCCAGGUGUAGCGGUGAAAUGCGUAGAUAUCUGGAGGAACACCGGUGGCGAAGGCGGCAUCCUGGACCAACACUGACGCUGAGUGAGCGAAAGCCAGGGGAGCAAACGGG